rnacentral:rRNA from 1 species
CUACGGGGGGCUGCAGUAAGGAAUAUUGCGCAAUGGAGGCAACUCUGACGCAGCCAUGCCGCGUGCAGGAAGAAGGCCUUAUGGGUCGUAAACUGCUUUUAUUUAGGAAUAAACCCCCGAACGUGUUCGGGGCUGAAGGUACCAAACGAAUAAGCACCGGCUAACUCCGUGCCAGCAGCCGCGGUAAUACGGAGGGUGCAAGCGUUAUCCGGAUUUAUUGGGUUUAAAGGGUGCGCAGGCGGGCUAUUAAGUCAGUGGUGAAAUCCCGGGGCUCAACUCCGGAACUGCCAUUGAUACUGAUAGUCUUGAGUUUGGUUGAAGUGGGCGGAAUGUAGCAUGUAGCGGUGAAAUGCAUAGAUAUGCUACAGAACACCAAUCGCGAAGGCAGCUCACUAAGCCAAAACUGACGCUCAUGCACGAAAGCGGGGGGAUCAAACAGGAUUAGAUACCCGAGUAGUC